UACGGAGGGUGCAAGCGUUGCUCGGAAUUAUUGGGCGUAAAGGGUAGGUAGGUGGUCUCAUUUGUCUGGGGUGAAAGCCUUGGGCUUAACUCAAGAAGUGCCCCAGAAACGGUGAGACUGGAGUCCUGGAGAGGGUCGUGGAAUUCCCGGUGUAGCGGUGAAAUGCGUAGAGAUCGGGAGGAACACCAGAGGCGAAGGCGGCGACCUGGACGAGGCACUGACACUCAACUACGAAAGCGUGGGGAGCA
rnacentral:rRNA from 1 species